GGAAGUAAAAAGUCGUAACAAGGUUUCCGUAGGUGGGCCUGCGGAAGGAUCAUUG
rnacentral:rRNA from 1 species